GGCUCGCGGGCCCCGCAUUGCCGCGUGCCACCGGCAGCAAAAAAUCUCAUCACAUAGCCAGAGAAAUGAUCACAAAUUCCCAGGACACACUUUUGGGCAGUAUCAUAGCUCCUGGCCUGCUCCAGGACGGUGGGAGUGAGUCAGCGCUGGGGAUCUGAGCUGGAAGCUGCCUGGAGUCCUUCUGCACUGAUAUUUUGUCUCUUUCCUGUAAGUCAAAAACACACAGUCCUCUACAAACGUU